rfam:Sutterella wadsworthensis CAG:135 genomic scaffold, scf65
CCGCCCGAGGAGCGCUGCGACGCCGUGAGACCACGUUUCACUGCGCCAGGCUCGAGCUGACGGACUUUUCCUGCAACGGCGCUCGGACCUU